UUAACUUAAAGGAAUUGACGGAAGGACACCACAAGAGCGUGGAGUAUGUGGCUUAAUUCGACUCAACGCGCAACAAUUUACUUGGUCCGAACGCUUUGAGGAUUGACAGUUAUUGUAUAGUUCUGAUAUGGGUGGUAUUUGUAGUCAACGUGUAGGUAGUUGUAUAUUAAAUAUGAAAGUUCUUUUAUGAUUAUGUGAUAGGUGGUGCAUGGCCGUCCUUAAUUCGUGGAGUGAUUUGUCUGCUUAAUUGCGCAUUGCAAAUUGUAAUUGAUCUUUUACCAGUCUCGUUCUGGUUUAUGUUGUGAAUAUUGUAGAAUAUUGUUGUUCUCGAGUCAUUAUUGCCACUAUGUCUGGUCCAUUGGGCAGAAUAGUGUUGUAUAUUUUGUCUUGUGAACACAAAAUUCUUCACAAUAUUGUAGCCGUACUUCAUUGUAUGCGCUCACUAUUCAUGUAUAUGUGACACAUUUGUGGUUCAAGACCAGUUCGGCUGCUUGCACACAUAUACACUCGACAUGACCAGUCAGGCUGCUAGAGACCUUGUGUCUUGCCCCAAAGGUUGAUUAACACCGUGAGUGCAACGAGUGAGAUUGCAAGCCUUUGUUAUGUAGUGAACAACAUAUACCUACUAUGAUUACUACUUUGUAGUAACUAGGUUUCCAACUACACAAAAUAACCAUUAAGGUGAAAUGAACUCAGGCGACUGCUAUACUUUAAGAUGGUGGAAGGUUGUAGCAAUGACAGGUCUGUGAUGCCCUUUAGAUGUUCAAGGCUGCACACGUACUACAUUGAUCUAUUCAACGAGUAUGUAUGUAACAUUGAUUAUGCAUCUAUUAGUUCAGCUAUUAUGUAUUUCGGUAACGUUAAUUCAGAACUUCGAGAAGGUUCCGACAACAGUCAAUCUAGUUAUUGCUUGUAGUUGUUAAUUGUAUAAUUGUUUAGUUCACGCAACGUUCGUUUAUCAUUCUCUAGUAUUGUUAAUUCACAGUGGGAACAGUCGUUUGUAAUUCUGAGACUCGGUUCAACCAGGAAUGCCUCGUAUUUGUGGUUCAUUAAACUCCGUGGAAUAAGUCCCUGUCCUUUGUACACACCGCCCGUCGCUUUUACCAAUGGCCCUCGUUGUGAGAUAGCUGGACAAGUAUUUACUACUUCAAAAGUUCUCAAUCAAGGUUUGCUAAAGGAAAAAGAAGUCGUAAC
rnacentral:rRNA from 1 species